CAGCAGCCACGGUAAGACGAACCGUGCGAACGUUAUUCGGAAUCACUGGGCUUAAAGCGCGUGUAGGCGGAUAGGGACGUCGGUCGCUGAAAUCCCCCGGCUCAACCGGGGAACGGGCACCGAAACGCCCUGUCUGGAGGGACGUAGGGGGACCUGGAACAUCCGGUGGAGCGGUGAAAUGCGUUGAGAUCGGAUGGAACGCCCGUGGCGAAAGCGAGGUCCUGGACGUCUUCUGACGCUGAGACGCGAAAGCUAGGGUAGCGAACGGGAUUAGAUACCCGAGUAGUCCCUGUCUCUUAUA
rnacentral:rRNA from 1 species